AACUAAUGAGUAAGGAAAAUAUACAAGCCGUGGUGACGCGCGGUUUACAUAGUCAAUGAAAGGGUGAGGUGGUGCGCCCAUCUUGUCCUUUCGACUCCCUUAUUUUUGUGAGGGCCUAGGUCGUCCCGUGCGACAACUACCUACUUUUGUAGUCGUUGCUGGUGAUAGCGAUCUACCCUUAGUCAUCCAGUCAUCCUUACAACGCCUUUAAAGGACUACAAGAAGUCGAGUGUUGACAUUUUCACGGUCGCAGUGAUUUUUAUUCUUUGAAAUGACGGAACACAUCAUAUUCUCAGGGUUGUAAAAAUAGAAGUAAGUAUAGAUAGAAUUUAUUAUAUUACUUAAGUAACACAGGUAAGUAAUUUAUUUACAAUUGACAAUAUUAUAUAUACCCUGGUAAGUAUUUUGUAUUAUUGUGACUGUGAAGUAAAAGUGAUGUGUUUUGCUUUCGCCUGCGUCACCAUAUGAUGCUCAGUAACAUCGGCGCCCGACAGGAAACUGGGUGACGGUCACACAACGUGUAAUGGACUGCUACAUACUCAAUCACUCAUUCCAUCACUCACACAUUUAAAUAUUUAUAUCACUGGUAUACGCGGGUGUGCGUGCGUGUACUAGUCGUAAUAGUAAUGCAACAUUCAUUUAUCCACUUAAAAGUGAGUUAGCUGUUAGUUGUGAGUUGUGGCUGUGCAGUUAAGUGUAUGUGACUUUAUGGUUGUGGUCGUGAUAAGUGUUUCAUCAAUUAGUUUGCAACAUGUUUGUAGUUUACUACAUAGGAUCUUAUUAAACUCUAGUAUAACAUUUAGUCACAGGAUUAGUUCGCAGAGAUUUUAAUAAAAAAAGUAUUUUAACUUUUAUUUUGUUGUUUAUUG